GAUGAAGAACGCAGCGAAAUGCGAUAAGUAAUGUGAAUUGCAGAAUUCAGUGAAUCAUCGAAUCUUUGAACGCACAUUGCGCCCCUUGGUAUUCCGAGGGGCAUGCCUGUUCGAGCGUCAUUAUAACCCCUCAAGCUCAGCUUGGUGUUGGGGCCUGCUGCACUGGCAGCCCUUAAAAUCAGUGGCGGCGCCAUCUGGCUCUAAGCAUAGUAAUUCUUCUCGCUAUGGAGUCCUGGUGGAUGCUUGCCAUCAACCCCCAAUUUUUCUAUGGUUGACCUCGGAUCAGGUAGGGAUACCCGCUGAACUUAAGCAUAUCAAUAAGCGGAGGA
rnacentral:misc_RNA from 1 species